rnacentral:misc_RNA from 1 species
GAAAUGCGAUAAGUAGUGUGAAUUGCAGAAUUCAGUGAAUCAUCGAAUCUUUGAACGCACAUUGCGCCCUUUGGUAUUCCUUAGGGCAUGCCUGUUCGAGCGUCAUUUAAACCUUCAAGCUCAGCUUGGUGAUGGGCGACUAUCCCCCCCCCUCGCGGGGGGGACUCGCCUCAAAAACAUUGGCGGCCGGUACAUUGGCUUCGAGCGCAGCAGAAACGCGGUCUCGAGCCCGGUGGAUCGGCUCCCAUAAGCCUAUUCUUUUAUUUUGACCUCGGAUCAGGUAGGGAUACCCGCUGAACUUAAGC